rnacentral:rRNA from 1 species
GACGAACGCUGGCGGCGCGCUUAACACAUGCAAGUCGAACGGACAGGCCUGCUUUCCCUUGUGGUUUGCGGGUACUCGAGUGGCGAACGGGAGAGUAACACGUGAGUGAUCUGCCCCCAACUUGGGUAUAAGCCUGGGAAACUGGGUCUAAUUCCCGAUAGGACUGCAGGGUUGUGCCUGUGGUGGAAAACGAUUUUCUAGUGGUUGGGGAUGAGCUCGCGGCCUAUCAGCUUGUUGGUGGGGUAAUGGCCUACCAAGGCGGCGACGGGUAGCCGGCCUGAGAGGGUGGACGGCCACAUUGGGACUGGGAUACGGCCCAGACUCCUACGAGAGGCAGCAGUGGGGAAUAUUGCACAAUAGGCGGAAGCCUGAUGCAGCGACGCCGCGUGGGAGAUGACGGCCUUCGGGUUGUAAGCUCCUUUCGACCGCGAGGAAGCCACCUGGUUGGAAGGGUGGUGACGGUAGUGGUAGAGAAAGCACCGGCUAACUACGUG